rnacentral:rRNA from 1 species
UACGAAGGGGGCGAGCGUUGCUCGGAAUCACUGGGCGUAGAGGGCGCGUAGGCGGGUUUUUAAGUCAGGGGUGAAAGCCCAAGGCUCAACCUUGGAAUUGCCUUUGAUACUGAGGGCCUUGAGACCGGAAGAGGUCGGCGGAACUGCGAGUGUAGAGGUGAAAUUCGUAGAUAUUCGCAAGAACACCAGUGGCGAAGGCGGCCGACUGGUCCGGUUCUGACGCUGAGGCGCGAAAGCGUGGGGAGCAAACAGG